GGGAUACUAGUAUGUGACUGGCAGAGUAAAAAUCUUCUGGCCAUGGAAGAAGACAACUACUGGGAUCGAACUCAGGUCCUUGUGCUUGUGCAGCAGGUGGUGAAACCACUGAGCUAAAUCCCUGGCCCCUAUAUUAAACUUUUUAUUUCGGGUAUACUGCAAGGGUGUUUUGAAUACCAGCUCUCGGAAAUAUCUGGGUGUUCAGCUUCUGAGAGGUGUUAAAGGAGACCGUCUACAUCAAGGGCUUGGGAUAAUAGUGCUCGUGCUCUGUUUCCACUCUCACUGCCCGUUUAGGUGACAGAAAGGUCAAAGUGCAACUGUUCUUCUCAUCCCAGACUAUUUUAAAGGCCUCAGAAGAGAGAUUUCUCCAUUUCUCACUUUCUGGGUGUUGCUUGUGGGAGAGAUGCCAGCCAGUAGGUGAGGCAGAACUUCACGGACAUGCAGUCUCAUGAUUUAUUACAAGUGCCAAUAAGACCUGAGUCAGUGGGCAAAGAAAAUGGUAUACUGUACCCUAGAGCUCAGUUGAAAUUAGAGCCUAUCCUUCACCCCUCGGUGGAUCAAAACAGACCUUAUGUGAUUCAGCCUGUAGUUCACUUUGAAGUUUGAAUCAACAUUAUGAAAGCAUUGAUAAUACACAGAUGGGUAUUACUGAAACUGAAAAUGCGGGUGAGUGCUACAUUGGGCAGUCUCUCCUGAAAAUAGCCAUCUUCACUGUCUACAGUUCUCUUCAUUUGUUGUGCCUAAAAAGAUACAUCUGCAAUGUCUUGCUGAUUCUCUGCUUGACCUCCGUUGUUAUUUCUACAAUUUUUGUAUUGUUGUUUCAAGCCUGUAUAGUUUCUUAUGAAUUUAUACAUUUAAACUUUAAUUUUUUCCUAGACCGUUUUGGCAGUCUUUUGGCUUCUGCUGUAGUAUAACCACUUUCUGCUAUGAAUCUUCCUUGCCAACUGCUAUUACUUCUCCCAUAUUCAUAAUGGUUAUUCAAUAAACUGAUAGUAAAAAGCACUUGUUGGGUAACUAAUAUAGUCGAUUAGUUUUUAGCCUUGCCCUGGUCAAUCAAGGCUACUUUCUAAGAAGAAAUGUCAAAAUACAUUAAUUUUGGAUUUAUAUACAAGGAAAAUUAAAUUAACACCUUGUAGAGAUAUCUGCACUUCAUAACUGCAGUGUUUUUACAAUAGCUAAGUAAUGGAAACAAAUGUCUGUCUGUCAACAGAUGACUGGAUGAACACAUUUUGUUCUAUAUACACAUGCACACACACACACAUAAUGGAAUAUUAUUCAGCUUUUAAAAAUGAGAACUUGUCACUUGUGAGGAUAGGUAUUAAUUAAAGAAUGUUAUGCUAAAUGAAAUCAGCCAGACAUAGAGAAAUAAUAUAUGAUCUUUUUAAGAAGUGAAAUCUAAAAAAUAAAGGUCAAAGAAGUUGAAUACAUAGAAACAGAAUAGAAUGGUGAUUACAAAGGUAUUGUGAGGGUGGGAAAGGGGAUACUUAGACCAGUGGAUUCAAAUUUGAAAUUAUGUAGAGUUAAUAAAUCUAAAGAUCGAAAGUACUGCAUGAGGACUAAGGUAAUAAUAUUAUACUAUAUGCAGAAAUUUUUCUAAGAAAGUAUUUUAGGUGCUUUUACCACACACACAAAAUGGUAUCUAUGAGAAAUUUGGAUACAUGUAUUAAAUUUUUCUCCUGUAUUACUCAUAUAAACAUAUAUACACAUACACAUGUCUCAAAACAUCAUGUUGUGCAUUCUCAUUUAUACUAUAAAAAAGAAAUGUAAAAAUAAAGCUUAAGUAUUAAAAAGAAAAGGAAAAAGUAAAUGAGAGAGAGGGAGAGGAGAGGAGGAAACAGAGAGAGAGACAGAGAGAGAGAGAGAGAGAGAGAGAGAGAGAGAGAGAAUUAUAUGCCUGCCUAAAACUUUAUGGGAAGAUAAACAAGAUUUGUUGUAAUAGACUUCUAUCCACCUCUAACAGAUCCAACAUCAAACCUUAACACAGUGAUGGUGAACCUUUUAGAGCUUUCAAUGACAACAAGAAGCAAACUGUGGCAUGUGUGCCAUAGCAUAACAUCUACCAAAUUUCCAACUGCUGAAAAACACCUUCCCAACCUUCUAGCCUCUAGUGUAAUCUCUUCCUUCCAUUUUCCCCAUAAUUUUGCAUUACAAUAAUGAAAAGAUAUACUUGGACUUACAGAGUGCUCCUCACCAUGGAAAAGGAAGAAACUUAGCAGGCAUGUCCUUCCCUCUUCAGUGGCAAGGGGACAGGAAAGCUGGAAUUAUUUUCUUAUUUUUAUUUUUAUUUUCAUAUCUACAAGCUUCAGGUAACAAAUUGGGGAAAGACAGACUAGAACACAAGUGGUAUAAUAGAAAAUGGGUAUUGUCAAUUGGUUACUGAAGAAACUUCAUAAAGUUGAGGCUCAGAGAAAACAUUGUUUUAUUAACACUGAGUGACUUUAUCUCUGAUGGAAAUUAAUUUUGGAGAAUAAAAGGUAUGAAUCUAAGCUUAUACUGUUGUUGAGUAGAAUUUACUCCUUUUAGUAGAGGAUGCUAGAUAUUUGCUGUUUGGAG
ensembl:lncRNA